rnacentral:rRNA from 1 species
AGAGUUUGAUCAUGGCUCAGGAUGAACGCUAGCGGCAGGCUUAACACAUGCAAGUCGAGGGGCAGCAUAAUGGAUAGCAAUAUCUAUGGUGGCGACCGGCGCACGGGUGCGUAACGCGUAUGCAACCUACCUUUAACAGGGGGAUAACACUGAGAAAUUGGUACUAAUACCCCAUAAUAUCAUAGAAGGCAUCUUUUAUGGUUGAAAAUUCCGAUGGUUAGAGAUGGGCAUGCGUUGUAUUAGCUAGUUGGUGGGGUAACGGCUCACCAAGGCGACGAUACAUAGGGGGACUGAGAGGUUAACCCCCCACACUGGUACUGAGACACGGACCAGACUCCUACGGGAGGCAGCAGUGAGGAAUAUUGGUCAAUGGACGCAAGUCUGAACCAGCCAUGCCGCGUGCAGGAUGACGGCUCUAUGAGUUGUAAACUGCUUUUGUACGAGGGUAAACGCAGAUACGUGUAUCUGUCUGAAAGUAUCGUACGAAUAAGGAUCGGCUAACUUCGUGCCAGCAGCCGCGGUAAUACGGAGGAUUCAAGCGUUAUCCGGAUUUAUUGGGUUUAAAGGGUGCGUAGGCGGUUUGAUAAGUUAGAGGUGAAAUUUCGGGGCUCAACCCUGAACGUGCCUCUAAUACUGUUGAGCUAGAGAGUAGUUGCGGUAGGCGGAAUGUAUGGUGUAGCGGUGAAAUGCUUAGAGAUCAUACAGAACACCGAUUGCGAAG